UACGUAGGGUGCGAGCGUUAAUCGGAAUUACUGGGCGUAAAGUGUGCGCAGGCGGCGCCGCAAGUCGAGUGUGAAAGCCCCGAGCUUAACUUGGGAAUUGCGCUCGAAACUAUGGUGCUGGAGUGUGGCAGAGGAAGGUGGAAUUCCACGUGUAGCGGUGAAAUGCGCAGAUAUCAGGAGGAACACCGGUGGCGAAGGCGGUUCUCUGGGCAUUACCUGACGCUGAGGAGCGAAAGUGUGGGGAGCGAACAGG
rnacentral:rRNA from 1 species